rnacentral:lncRNA from 1 species
AUUUUGAUUAAAAUGUCUUCAUUCUGUCUUCAUUCAACUUCAUCCAAAUGUUCCCCAACAUACUUCCUCGUCUCAGUCCCAGAUAUCCUUAUGAGGAAGCCGAAGCAAAAGUGACUUGCUUAGGAUUAUGCAGCCUGUAAAUGUUUGAAACCAGAUUUAGACUCAGGUCUUCUGGACUCCAGGAUUUUUACUCUAAUGGAAAUGUUCAAGAAUAUGAAGAAAAAGAUGGUUACAAUUUGUGUUUGGAAGAAGUAGAAAACGGAUGGAAAAUGUAAGUGAGGACAGUUCACUGGGAAUGAAGACAACAUAGUGGCACAGUUCCUUAAGAAUUAUGUCCUAAAACCUAAAGCCCCUCAGAGCAAGGCUUGGGAUCUCCCAACCCAUCAAUAACACCUCUAUAAGUACUCCCAUCUCAGACUCCCUUCUGAGCCCAAGAGCCCUUC